rnacentral:lncRNA from 1 species
CAUAUAGGUACACAUGCAGUUUGAAUAGAGUAGGUCAGCAGAACAUCCUGCUAAGGUCGUUAUCAUCUAUGAAUUGGACUGCCUUGAGAAUGACCUUGAGAAAUGAAGUAGAAACUACAGAUAGAGUGAAUUUUAUAGCCUUUUUGUAAGAUGCGUUUUUGGGGGUGUUAUUAGUUACUCCUCUCUUUUUUCUUUCAACAUUCAACCUUUGAGAUUAGGUUCAAAUGAUCUCUUAACUGAUAGGGCAGAAGGUUAUAUUUUUAACUUGACUUGUCCAAAAGGUGUUCGUCAAUUACUUCUCUAUGUACAGCACAAAUGAAACAUGACGUGGGCAGGUUGCUCCUGUCAACCGUCUCACCAGGCUAUAUGUACAUGAUGGAAUAGGCUAUUGUGAUUGGUAUUGAUUGAAAGAAGCUAGGGAGAAAUUAGUAGCUGGAGUCCUGUUUUCUCCACUCUGCAGGCAUGAUCUUUGGCUAUCUCUCCAUGUGCACCAUGAAACAAAGAGCUGAGUCAAUUUCUCUGAUAAUUCGAAUCAGCUGAGGCUUGCAGAGAAGGGAGCGUGAGCUGGGCAGAUACGUCUAGUAGCAGCAGCCACCCCAGCAAAGAGACAAAGAACCCACCCAGGAGCCUCACAUGCUGCUAUUCUAGAAAAUUCUGCGCCUUCAGGUUACCAAGUUUGAGGCUGGGCACGGCAGCUCACACCUGUAAUCCCAGCACUUUGGGAGGCCGAGGCGUGUG